rnacentral:rRNA from 1 species
GACAGAGGAGGCGAGCGUUAUCCGGAGUUAUUGGGCGUAAAGGGUACGUAGGCGGCUGGUCAAGUCUGGGGUUAAAGACCACAGCUUAACUGUGGGGGGGCCUUGGAAACUGACCGGCGGGAGUGGGGCAGGGGUUGAGGGAAUUCCCGGUGUAGCGGGGAAAUGCGGAGAUAUCGGGAAGAAAACCUGAGGCGAAAGCGCGCAACUGGGCCCUAACUGACUUCGGGAUACGAAAGCUACGGUACCUAUUGGC